GAUGAACGCUGGCGGCGUGCUUAACACAUGCAAGUCGAACGAUGAAGCCCAGCUUGCUGGGUGGAUUAGUGGCGAACGGGUGAGUAACACGUGAGUAACCUGCCCUUAACUCUGGGAUAAGCCUGGGAAACUGGGUCUAAUACCGGAUAGGAGCGUCCACCGCAUGGUGGGUGUUGGAAAGAUUUAUCGGUUUUGGAUGGACUCGCGGCCUAUCAGCUUGUUGGUGAGGUAAUGGCUCACCAAGGCGACGAUGGGUAGCCGGCCUGAGAGGGUGACCGGCCACACUGGGACUGCGACACGGCCCAGACUCCUACGGGAGGCAGCAGUGGGGAAUAUUGCACAAUGGGCGCAAGCCUGAUGCAGCGACGCCGCGUGAGUGAUGACGGCCUUCGGGUUGUAAACCUCUUUCAGUAGGGAAGAAGCGAAAGUGACGGUACCUGCAGAAGAAGCACCGGCUAACUACGU
rnacentral:rRNA from 1 species